GGCUGGUCCGAAGGUAGUGAGUUAUCUCAGUUGAUUGUUCACAGUCAGUUACAGAUUAGACUCCUUGUUCCACUGUCUCCCCUCUUCCCACUUGUUUUGUUUUUU
ensembl:misc_RNA Y_RNA Y RNA